rnacentral:rRNA from 1 species
CGAGUUUGAUCCUGGCUCAGAUUGAACGCUGGCGGCAGGCUUAACACAUGCAAGUCGAGCGGAGACUUCGGUCUUAGCGGCGAACGGGUGAGUAAUACCUAGGAAUCUGCCUAUUAGUGGGGGAUAACGAAUCGAAAGGUUCGCUAAUACCGCAUACGUCCUACGGGAGAAAGCAGGGGAUCGCAAGACCUUGCGCUGAUUGAGCGGCCGAUAUCAGAUUAGCUAGUUGGUGAGGUAAAGGCUCACCAAGGCGACGAUCUGUAGCGGGUCUGAGAGGAUGAUCCGCCACACUGGAACUGAGACACGGUCCAGACUCCUACGGGAGGCAGCAGUGGGGAAUUUUGGACAAUGGGCGCAAGCCUGAUCCAGCCAUGCCACGUGAGUGAAGAAGGCCUUCGGGUUGUAAAGCUCUUUCGGCCGGGAAGAAAUCGCACAGGUUAAUACCCUGUGUGGAUGACGGUACCGGAAUAAGAAGCACCGGCUAACUACGUG